ensembl:lncRNA
AUCGAUACUCCCAUGGGCGUCGCCACAAUAUAUUUUGGGGGUAGUAGUAGUUUGGACCCCCCCCCCCCAGCAUUAAAAUGCAUUUCAAGUGACUUCAUGAAGGUGGUUGGUCUUUGCAGUAGGGAAGCACAGCGAUCAUCUCAUGUUGGGGGAAUGGUUUAAAAAUAUAGUAAAGAAAAUUCUUGAGAGAAAGCGAUGCAUGCGAUUUUUAACAAUCUAACAUGACCUGGCACUAAAAUACAGGCUAAAUAUCAAAACAGAAAGAAAGCCUUUUCAGCUAAAGCUGGACAUUUUGACAAUGACUGAUUGCUGAAGUCUGUCGCUGUCAUUGAUCCGACUCUCAACAUAGGCUUGGUUUGGUGCAUGUUUUGAAUAUGCGUGCAUCAUGCGGCUGGAAACCAGAAAAACGCGAGUGGAUUUCUAUUGGUAUUUGUAUACCCCAGGCCCCCCGCCAAAAUAUGUCCCACAGGCCAACAAACUUGUUAAUCUAUAGCUUGGCUACUUGUUAUAUAUGAGAUCCUGCUAAUGAAUUUUGUAUUUUUUGUAUUUUCUUUAAACUGUAUUAGCAGGUAUCGGUAUAGGGAUAUAACUAUUAUUCAUCUCUAUUUAUUUUUUAGCAAGAGACAAACUGAAAACUUUUCAAGCCCCCCUCCUCGACCAGAGAAAAGAAGCCCAGUGGGGGGACGGGUGAAGUGGACUCGAUAAAGGAGAACGACGUCAUCCUGGGACCUCAUCACUGGCAGUCUAAUAAUGUACUACCGACCUAGUCGAGAAAAACCUUCAACCACCCACAAAUUAACAUUGAGACAUGACACGUGAUCGACCAUCACAUUGCUAUUUUGGUUGUUUAUGAUAUUCAGACAGGGGUGUUGCACAAAACUCUUGGUGCCAUACAAAAUCAGUCUCUGUUGGCUCUCUUCCUCUCUUGAUCCAUGUCUCUCCAAAUUUUAAUUCUUAUUUACAAUUAAUUGGGCUAACACAAACACCUCGUCUCAGCAACAUCAGGAGAUGAAGAGGGACACUCUGUGGCUGUUUCUGAAAUUAAGGGCCAUGCCUCUCAUGUUAAGCUUAGCUAUGUAUUUUUCUUUAUUUGAUAGAUGUCUUUGUUAUAACAUUGUAGGUAUAAUGCUGAUGCAUUUAUGAUAUUGAUAAAUCAGGAUAUUCAAUCCAAUUAUGCUCCAAGCUAGAUCCCCUGCUGACUGCCUUCAAUCUAAACUGUUGUAAUAAGCUUAAGCCAUUCUCAAUCGAUGACUCUUAAACCGUUGUGCUCACCCAUCUUUUGAAAGAAUUCAGUUAUGAGUUGUUCUCCCUCAACUUGCAUUUUGUGGACCUUGAUUUCCUUUUCUUGGGGAAAGACAUGACUAUUGUGUUGCAAAAUAGCGCUCACUCAUCCCGCGACUAGCUGCGUUAGUUUUUGGGCAUCCUCGCAGCUCAGUGGUGUGAUAAUCCAUUUGGUGCCUUCUGUAAGUGUAAAGUGAGCCUCCACCAUUUUGUUUUAUAACCAACUCAAAGGUUUUAUUCAGCCAAUUUAAAAUUACAUUACUUUGAAACAGAAUAUUGCAAACAAAGAAAAACAUUAUCACCCUAUGCUUUGAGGGAUCUGGGUGUGUAUAUACGUUUCUUGUAAUAAUUUUUAUAUAUUUUAUAUCUAUAAUAGGGUUGUUUUCUUCCUUAGUUUCUCAGUGAUUCAUGUUUGGUUGGAUAAUUGUGUUUCUGCCUUCUUACACCCUUUAAAUGCAGGUUUUCAAACACUCCACACCCAUCUUAUUUUCUUAAAAUCAGUAAAGUGUACAAACUUAGUUUUGUGAUUUCAAUUAGUUUUCAGAAGGUUGUUUUUUCAUUCAACGCUGGACCAUUAAAGCUACCCCCUAGUAAAUCAGUCUCUGCUCUUUGACUUGGUCUUAACUGCAAUCCUUUAAUUAACCUUGACAAGGAUGUAGCCUAAACAAAUGGACAAUAGCAUCAAUACCAUUCUCUUCAACAAGAAACAAACUCUAAUGAAAAAUCGUGAAAUAUAAAAUGAGGUCACAAGUGCAGGCUGGAGAUGUAUUUCUUGCAUUUAACCUGUAGGGGUCUGUAUGCGGGUUUUGCACCGCCCAGGUAAUAAAAGGCCAGGUGUGUGUUUGUCAGACACUGAAUGUCAAGGGAAGAGGCCGAGGUUUAAAAAAGUCUUUAGAUUGCGCGCUUAUUAAGUCUAGUUCUUUGUUAUUUAAGUUUACUCGUUACCUAUAAAUGUUUUCUCGUUUCCUUGUAACAUUGUCUUAAUUAAGAAGACAGUUUGGUUCUUUUUUGUAUGGUAAAAUAAACG